GACGAACGCUGGCGGCGUGCUUAACACAUGCAAGUCGAACGGAAAGGCCCCUUUGGGGGUACUCGAGUGGCGAACGGGUGCGUAACACGUGCGUAACCUGCCCUUGACUUCGGGAUAACUUCAGGAAACUGGGGCUAAUACCGGAUAGGAAUCCUUGCUGCAUGGUGGGGGUUGGAAAGCUUCGGCGGUUUUGGAUGGACUCGCGGCGUAUCAGCUUGUUGGUGGGGUAGUGGCUUACCAAGGCUUUGACGGGUAGCCGGCCUGAGAGGGCGACCGGCCACAUUGGGACUGAGAUACGGCCCAGACUCCUACGGGAGGCAGCAGUGGGGAAUAUUGCACAAUGGGCGGAAGCCGGAUGCAGCAACGCCGCGUGCGGGAUGACGGCCUUCGGGUUGUAAACCGCUUUCAGCAGGGGCGAAGCUUGUGGUGACGGUACCUGCAGAAGAAGCACCGGCUAACUACGUG
rnacentral:rRNA from 1 species